GCUGGGGAAGAGGCUGGUGGACUGAGCGAGCUCAGAUGACGUCAGGGACAGAAGCUCACAGUAUCUGACUCAGCAGAGGCAGCAGCCUUGGUUACAAAGCUGCUGCCCCGCUAAGGGGCAGGGGACAUAAAGGGCCUUUGAGGGCCUCCCCUUCCACCCCCAGCUCCCCCAGUGCUUGGCUUGCCACCACAUCUUUGUUCUCUUGGGGUGUUAGGAGCUGGGAUACCCUGAGAAAAUUUCUCCUGGGCCUGCUAGAUCCGCCUCUGCCUUGGCACUGACUGAAAGGGUGCCCUAGAUGGUGCUGAUCAGCCUGGCAGAGAGUGGUUCAGACUGGAAAUUUAUAGCCAGGGCACCUAAAUUCGAAUUCCAAAUUGGAGAUUGCUUGCUGGGUGACCUUGGGAAAGUCAUUUACUUCUCCUGGUCUCAGGUUCUUCAUCUAUAAAAUGAGAAAGUUGAGUUAGAUGACCUCUGAGGGCGCUUCCAGACCCAGAUUGGUUCCCUCUGACGCUUUUCAGUCAAUGAACAUUUAUUAAUCACCUACUAUGUGCCACCUGUCCUUUGCUAAGCACAUUUGUAAAAUGAGGCGAUCAGAGGCCUUGGAUUUGGAGUUCGAGAGCUCCAGUUUGAAUCUUGACUCCGUCAGCGCUAACUGUUGCUCAACAUGGGGAGUUGCUCAUCCUGUGCUGGUGACAGCUUAGCAGAAUCAACCCUUGCCAUGCCCAUUCUGAAAUCCCAGAGGCGUCAGUCCUGUUGUUCAUCAGUGGUUGGCAGCUUUAUACUUCAACUCUCCAGGAGAGUGUGAGUUUGCCAACCAAUCAGAAUUUGCAUUUUAGUCUUCCUCAUCAUUUGGGCAAGCAGGCACUAUAAGGGCUGUGCCCUGGAGGAAGGGGGAAAUCACACCUGGUGAGGAAGAUACAAGGUCCUCUUCAUUGAAAGGGAUCAGGUCUCUAAUCAGUAAUUCUUGGCACGGAGCCCUGCCUCAGUUGCUUCUAUUGCAGAUUAGAUAAAUUUGUUGGUGGGCUAUCGUAUUGUUUUCAAAUACUAAUAUGUAGGUUGUUUUCAAUUCCACCUGUGUGAGCGGGCCAGUCAAGAACCAUGGAGCCUUUCUCUUUAGAUUAGGCAAUCUUUCCACCUGCAAUGGCAGCAGAGGGAGGAACCUUGCCUUUCCACUGGGAAUUCUGCCAGUUGCUACUCAGAGGAAUCACUUUCAUUCCAUGGAGACUUUGUCCCUGAUGUCAUCAGUACGCGGCAGCCAGAAGAACAGGGUUGACUUUAACCAUGGAGACCAAAUGAAGGCCAUAGACAAGGCACCUCGCAGGGUAAUACAAAGAAGCUCCUGAAAUUACACCUCCUUCAUAUCCAGCUCAUCUGAACAUGAAACCGUCAGGAACGCUCAUUCACUUUCUGCUCAGAAAGUGCCCCCCACCUUUUAUUUGUGUUAUAGACAACCUAAACGAUUGUCCUUAAUGAUAUAUUUUGAUGAUGUGAUGAAUUGUGUUCAUAUGUUAUUAAGCAUAUUAAUGUUUUGUGUACUGCUUUUCCCUGGUUGUCAUCUCUGGGAUUUUCUGUGUUUAUGAUGUCAGUCUGAAGCUAGACACUCCAGAGGGACAUUGGACUCAUUCAUUCAGUAAAGUGCACAGUGCAGAAACAUUCAGGUGACAUUGUCUAGAACUGACAAAGAAUUAAUGGUAAAAUUAAAAAAAAGAAAAUUUUAAUUAAAAUUUUAAAACUGUUAAAUAGGAACAUAGCUUUAAUUGGAAAAAAAACACUACAACAAUGUGGAUUCAUUUAACAAACUGUUGCCAAGUAAUUUAAUUAUUGGGCUGUGUUGAAUGGAUUCAUUUAUGAUUGAUAAGAUAGAUUGCUUAAAUGCAAACAGAUAGUGUUUUGUGUUCUUAAAACACUUCAUUUUCUGAAAGUAUUUCAGAUAUUCCCUUUGCAAAUUUUUCCAUUCAUCCAAUUGUUUACCAAUUCUUUCUUUAUGGAGAAUCUACUCUUGGUUGAAUUAUUAUGAACCUCUAAUUACUAGGAUUGGACUGUUAAGAACAAUUGGUGUAUUUUUAUAGCACUUUGGGGUUUACCCCUUCUUUCAAGAUAUAUAAUUUCAUUUAAGUCUCACAACAACCCAAAUGAGGAAGAUAUUAAAGGUAUUCUCCCCAUUUUAUGCAGAAGGAAAUUGCAGCAUAAAGUGAAAAUUAAUGAGGUUUCAUGGAAUCUGCUUUUUUAAAUGAUGGAGCUCAUAUCUAUUUGACUUGAUUCUUAUUUGCUCUUGUAGUCCAGUUCAAGGAACUUCACAGAAUUAUAGUCUUUAAUAUGUUAAUAUCACUCCAUGACAAUAUGUUUAAGCCAUCAUAUGGCUAUUAUAACCAAUUCUGUUACUCUUCAUAUCUAUUUAUUUUGAUGUAUGUUCUGGUCAGGGGUCUUUUUGACUAGGGAGGCAGCAUGGCCUAGGGACAAAUAGCUGGUUUUGAAACCAUAAAGACCUAGGUUCAAAUCUUGCAUCUGAUACCUAAUGGCUGUGUGUCCCUAAACAAGAUUCUUAACUUCUCAGUGCUUUAAGUGAGUCUCUAAAGAGACUACAAUGGGCAGCUAGGUAGCUAGUAGAGUGCCAGGUCUGGAGUUGGGAGGACCUGAGUUCAACUUUGGCCCCAGACACUUCCUAACUGUGUAACCCUGAGCAAGUUACUUAACCCCCAUUGCCUAGCUCUUGUCCUUCUGUCUUAGAAUUGUUAGUAAGAUAAAAGUAAAGGUUUAAAAAUAACAAUAGACUACAAAUUGCACUGAUUUGUGGUGGUAGAGUAGGUCCUUCCUUAACUGCUCUUUAUACCAAUGAAAGGACUGAUGAUUUCAGUCCUUUGCCCAGUCCCUGUGCCUAAAUAUCUAAUUACUUUAAAUUAGGUACUAGCCAUUUAUAAUGAGUAUUUAAUAAAUAUUAGAUUCCAUCGAAUUUGAAGUGAUUAAAAGAAAAAAACAAAUCAUAUACAAAUUAGAUUUCUUGAUCAGGCAGAAUUAAACUCUAACCAGGAUUAUGAAUAAAGGAUUGCUACUGUCCUACAGUAAACGAGAUUAUGAAUUUCAUGAUGAAUGCCUACUAGUUUGGAUCUAUACUAAUGGAAGGAAUUCCCUAAUGUUUAACCCUCAAUCCCAGCUCUGAAACUGUAGAGUCUUAGAGAGUUGUCUGGGGGCACUGAGGGAUUAACUUGCUUUCCCAAGGUCACAUCCAUAGCCCUCCAAGCAUUAUACCAUACUGCCUCUAAUCUCUUAGUAGUUACUUAAUAAAUACUUGAUUGAUUGACUUUGAAAUGAAUAUAUUUCUCAAACUUGGUCACUGUACCGUUUCCAAGAAGUCAAGAAACUGUAAGAUUAACAGAAGCCAGUGCUCAGUAAGUGACCAAGGAUAUGAACAAAUCAUUUUUAAAAGAAUUGCAAACCAGCAGGGACCGUAUUUUUUAAGUUCCAGAUCAUGAAUAAAAAGAGAAACAUAAACUAAAAUAACUGUUUACUUUAUACCUUUCUAUGUGGCAAAGAUGUUGGAAGGUGAAAAGAGUCAGGCCAGAGGGUCUAAUAAAAGCACACUAAUGUACUUUUGUGGAGCUGUGAAUUGGUUCACCCUUUCUGGAAAACAAUAUGUAAUUAUAUUAGAAAACGUACAAAAUUCUUCAUAUCCUUUGACGCAGUGAUCUCGCUAUUGGGUAUAUACCCCAAGGAGGUUAAAGACAGGAAGAAAGACCCUGUAUAAGCCAAACUAUUCAUAGCAGCACUUUUUGUGGUAGUAAACCAGAAACAAAGUGGGUGUUCAUUGCUGAGCAAACUACGGUUUUGGAAGUAAUGGAAUAUUAUCAUUCAAUAAGAAAUGAAAAAGAUGAGACAUUCAGAAAAACAUGAGAAGCCAUAUUAACUGAUACAAAGUAAAGUAAACAAAACCAAGAGAAGAAUGAAUACAUUACAAGGAAGCCAAUUCUGGGUAAUUGUACUGACCGAGCAAGAUGCCAGAAAAUAAUGAAAUAUUCAUCCUACCUCUUAGUGGGAAAGACUAUGGGGACAGAAUGUUGCAUAAACUGUCAGAUGCCAUCAAUGUAUUAGUUAAUUUUCUUAACUGCUUUUCUUUGUUACAAAGAAGGGGACCAUUAUGUGGUUGAGAUCGGGAAGAGGAUUUAUGUUAGAAAUAUCCAGGGUAUAAUAAAGAGUCUUAACAACACUAAAAAAAAAAGUAAAGAAAUAAAAAGCCCCCUAAGGUUAACCAGCAAAAAAUGACUGUGAAAAUGCCAUUUUAAGACCAUUAGAUAGAGUUAGGCCCUCAUGUAGAUAGUGAGUUUUCAUUUUUGAAGUAGGAUUAAGAUCACAAAGUCAGAGAAGGGGCUGGAAUAAAGAGAAGAGAGUUGGGAAGCAUUGAUCCUCUGAAUUUGGUAGUUAGAGAAUUGAUUUUUGGAUUAUAAAAUUUCAAGUGACUCAAUUUUUUAUGUCAGGCUAGAGCACAGUGACAUUUUACUUCCUAAAUUAAUUAUAGUGAAGGGCCUACAUAAAUCGGGUAAAUUAUUGCAUCUGAACAUGCUUGAGUGAGUCAUUUCUUUCCCAAAAGGGCAUCUUGCAUUUAGAGUGGAGGAAGGAAUGGCAAAUGUCACAGAUAAUGUUUCUCAUCCCUUUUGUAUACAUUUUAUUUUUUCCAUUUGCAAUUUUAUUCAUUAGAAUUCUAAACAAGUACAAGUUGGUUGAAGAUGGAUUUGUUAGGAUGCGAAUUAUAGUGGAAUGAAAAGUUAGUUUUCAUGA